rnacentral:rRNA from 1 species
AUCAUUAUCAUACAAUGAAGGUGCAAGGGCUGUCGCUGACCUUUAAAAGGUUGUGCACGCCUGAGUGCUCUCACACACAUCCAUUCCACCCCUUUGUGCAUCAUCGCGUGGGGGUCCCCCGAAAAGGGGGAGGCCCACGUUUUUUCUUUUUCACACAAACCUCAAAGUGGUUUAGAAUGUACUUUUUAUUUUUUGCGGUGAUUCGCAAUCAAUACAACUUUCAACAACGGAUCUCUUGGCUCUCGCAUCGAUGAAGAACGCAGCGAAAUGCGAUACGUAAUGUGAAUUGCAGAAUUCAGUGAAUCAUCGAAUCUUUGAACGCACCUUGCGCCCCUUGGCAUUCUGAGGGGCACACCCGUUUGAGUGUCGUGAAAUUCUCAAAAUCCCUUUCUUUGAUUGUUUCAAUCAGGAAAAGGAUUUUGGACUUGGAGGAUCAAUGCUCACUCUCACUUUCUUUUUGAAAGUGAGCUCCUCUUAAAUGAAUUAGUGGGGGUUUGCUUUGCUGAUCCUUGACGUGAUAAGGUGAUUCUACGUUUUGGAUUUAGCACUGUCCCUUUAGAACACCCGCUUCUAAUUGUCUUAUGGACAAUGAUGGUGUUCCGGUCAUCGGCUGGACCCACACAAGAAAAAACCUUGACCUCAAAUCGGGUGAGACUACCCGCUGAACUUAAGCAUAUCAAUAAGCGGAGGAAAAGAAACUAACAAGGAUUCCCCUAGUAACUGCGAGUGAAGCGGGAAAAGCUCAAAUUUAAAAUCUGGUGGUCUUUG